rnacentral:rRNA from 1 species
AUUGAACGCUGGCGGCAUGCUUUACACAUGCAAGUCGAACGGUAACAGGCCGCAAGGUGCUGACGAGUGGCGAACGGGUGAGUAAUGCAUCGGAACGUGCCCAGUCGUGGGGGAUAACGCAGCGAAAGCUGCGCUAAUACCGCAUACGAUCUAUGGAUGAAAGCGGGGGACCGUAAGGCCUCGCGCGAUUGGAGCGGCCGAUGUCAGAUUAGGUAGUUGGGGGGGUAAAGGCUCACCAAGCCGACGAUCUGUAGCUGGUCUGAGAGGACGACCAGCCACACUGGGACUGAGACACGGCCCAGACUCCGACGGGAGGCAGCAGUGGGGAAUUUUGGACAAUGGGCGCAAGCCUGAUCCAGCAAUGCCGCGUGCAGGAAGAAGGCCUUCGGGUUGUAAACUGCUUUUGUACGGAACGAAAAGGCUCUGGAUAAUACCUGGGGCUCAUGACGGUACCGUAAGAAUAAGCACCGGCUAACUACGUGCCAGCAGCCGCGGUAAUAC